GAUGAACGCUGGCGGCGUGCUUAACACAUGCAAGUCGAACGAAGCAUUUGCGACAGAUUUUUUCGGAAUGAAGUUGCUUAUGACUGAGUGGCGGACGGGUGAGUAACGCGUGGGUAACCUGCCUUGUACUGGGGGAUAGCAGCUGGAAACGGCUGGUAAUACCGCAUAAGCGCACAAUGUUGCAUGACAUGGUGUGAAAAACUCCGGUGGUAUAAGAUGGACCCGCGUCUGAUUAGCUAGUUGGUGAGAUAACAGCCCACCAAGGCGACGAUCAGUAGCCGAGCUGGGAGGGUGACCGGCCACAUUGGGACUGAGACACGGCCCAGACUCCUACGGGAGGCAGCAGUGGGGAAUAUUGCACAAUGGAGGAAACUCUGAUGCAGCGACGCCGCGUGAGUGAAGAAGUAAUUCGUUAUGUAAAGCUCUAUCAGCAGGGAAGAUAGUGACGGUACCUGACUAAGAAGCUCCGGCUAAAUACGUG
rnacentral:rRNA from 1 species